GACGAACGCUGGCGGCGUGCUUAACACAUGCAAGUCGAACGGGCCUUGUCCCCUUUUUUUUUGGGGGUGGGGUUAGUGGCGAACGCGUGAGUAACACGUGGGUAACCUGCCCCUCACUUCUGGCUAACCGCUUGAAAGGGUGGCUAAUCCGGGGUGUUCUGGCCUGCUCUCAUGGGUGGGUUUGUUAAGUUUCGACCGGUUUGGUUGUCUUGGUGGGGGACGGGCCCGCGGCCGUUUAGGUUGUUGGUGGGGUGAUGGCCUGCAAAGGCUUGGCCGGGUCGCCGGCCUGGGGGCGUGGGCGGUCACACUGGGAAUGAGACACGGCCAAGAUUGGUACGAGAGGCAGCAGUGGCGAAUAUGGCACGAUGCGGGCGAGACUGAUGCAGCGACGGCGCGUGAGGGAUGGAGGCCUUCGGGUUGUGAACCGCUUUCGCCAGUGAAGAAGGUCCUGCUCUUUGUGGUGGGGUUGACGGUAGCUGGGUUAAUGAAGCGCCGGCUAACUAGGU
rnacentral:rRNA from 1 species